rnacentral:rRNA from 1 species
AUUGAACGCUGGCGGAAUGCUUUACACAUGCAAGUCGAACGGCAGCACGGACUUCGGUCUGGUGGCGAGUGGCGAACGGGUGAGUAAUGUAUCGGAACGUGCCCAGUCGUGGGGGAUAACGUAGUGAAAAUUACGCUAAUACCGCAUACGAUCUAUGGAUGAAAGCGGGGGAUCGCAAGACCUCGCGCGAUUGGAGCGGCCGAUAUCAGAUUAGGUAGUUGGUGGGGUAAAGGCCCACCAAGCCAACGAUCUGUAGCUGGUCUGAGAGGACGACCAGCCACACUGGAACUGAGACACGGUCCAGAUUCCUACGGGAGGCAGCAGUGGGGAAUUUUGGACAAUGGGCGAAAGCCUGAUCCAGCCAUUCCGCGUGCAGGAUGAAGGACCUCGGGUUGUAAACUGCUUUUGUACAGAACGAAAAGGUUUCUACUAAUACUAGGAGCUCAUGACGGUACUGUGAGAAUAAGCACCGGCUAACUACGUGCCAGCCGCCGCGGUAA